rnacentral:rRNA from 1 species
AUGGUGGUGACUUGUGCCCAAUCUAGAACGUGGGGAGGAGAAAAGCGAAGGGGAGGAGAAGAGGCACUGCUCCCCUCCUCCUGUCGAGUCCUCCUCGAGGGCGAGCUCCUCCUGCGAGGCCGGAUCAAGGCCGACGGGCGCCGGCAGAGCACGGCCCGGCCGAGGCUGAGGCGGCGGCGGCGGCAGGAGGGGAGGUGGAGGCGGCGGCGGCAAGAGAGAGAGGAGGCGGCUGCGGGGCGCGGGCUAGGUCUGGCUGCUUUUACUUUUUUCUCUCGCGGCGGCUUCCCUUUUUCUUUUCUCUCGUGCCCGCUCGCCCAGGUCGCCCGCUCGCUCGCUGCUCUCUCUGAGCCGGGCACCCAGGAGACCGACAAAUGGGCCCGAUGCGGCUAA